CGCCGCCGAAGCCGCCGCCCGGGCCGAGCUAACUCGGCUCCCCGCCCCCUCCCUCGGCCGCAGCACCCCCGCCCCUUAGCUCUCCGCAUGGCUGCCGCCGCGACUCCUCCUCCGCGCAAGAUGGCGAGGGCCCAGCUGCAGCCGCUGAGCCCGCCGCGGCGCCUCUGCCUCUCCUGCUUCGUGGCAGGAGAAAUCCGGGCCGAGGAACCUCCCUGGGGCGAAAAUGGAGGGUAGUGCUUUCCCACCGACUGGGGGCCCGCGGGGGCCCAAGUUGAGGGAAGUUGAAGGGAAAAUACGGGUCCCUUUCUGAAGAGAAAGGAGGGCUGCUUUUUCCACAGCUGAGGAGAAAUCGGGGAAUGGUGGCUGGGAAGAGUACCCCCAGAAUGGAUGUCGGGGGCUUGGGACCCGAGGAGGAUCUGCUUAUUCCUGACCAAGGACCGGGUAGCGGCUCGGGGACGGGAGAGCUGACCUGACAUCUCCCGCGGGCCGGGGAAGCUGCUGCAGGACCAAGGGGGUCGCGUCCGUUCGAGCCCCGCGCCUCCGUGCAGGAACGCGCGGAACCACUGGUCCGGAGGCGCCGGCACGCGCCCGGGUGUGGGAACCGGAAGGGGGGCCGGCCGGGACCGGUGCGGCGGGGAGAACCGGGGAGGACGCGGGGCGGACAGGGGGCGCUGUGCGCGGGCGGGCAGGGGCGGGGGUGGAGGACGCUGUAGGAGGAUGGCGCGGGGGUGGGGUGCUGGGUGGCGGGGGGUGCGACACGGGCCGGAACCCGGAAAGCGAGCUUCGGGAAGGGAAGUGGGAGACUGGGGCAGCGAUCCUCCUCUCUCGGCCCCAAAGGGCAGUCCUCAAAGAGAGGGAACCAAGGAGGCCGAGCCCCCCCCACACCCCGAGGGAAGGAAACGCUGCUAAGGAGUCAGUUAUAAUGGUAAAACAAAAAUCGGAAGCUUGAAAGUUAUCCAGGUCAAGGGAAAAUAAAAACCUGGGUCUCACCCAGUUGACAGACAAUAUACAGGGCAAUGACGGGACCAUAUGUUGACAACAGAACUCCGACCCACAACCUCUGCUGCAACCAACACGGGAAGCCAAACCACAGCCUCUGCAGUGAUCAGCUUAGAACGAGCAGGAGUCGGUCAUUGACUGCCAGCUUCCCAAAUUUUUGCCCCUGUUACCAACUCGGGACCAAUCAGAGAAAGCCAAAUAUGUUUCCCCCCCCAACCAAUCACGUUAGACGCCCGGCUUCUAGUUAGCCCGCCUCCAGCUUCCCCGAGUUAACCUCCAAUCAGAGCAUACCCUGAAGCCUACUCCACCCACCCCCUUUUUUUUUCUUUUUUUUUUCCACUGCCGGCCUGUAAGUCCCAAGCUGAGUGAAGGUGGCUGCCUCCCUUGCUGUAGCAAGCUUUGAAUAAAUAGCCUGUUCUCA